AUAGCAAUGCCUUAAAAAUAAUAAUAAUAACGUGGACUGUUGUUUAAGAAAAAAUAUUCACUACAACAAAUAUAGUUAUUACCGGCGGGUUUAUUGCCGGCGGAACUCACCCGCCGGUAUUAAUAGGGGUAUUACCGGCGGAAAUAGCCAUCCGCCGGUAAUAACUAUAUAAUUAAUAUUAUAUUAAAUAAAUAAAAAAAAUUAUUUUAAAUUUAUUAUUACCGGCGGGUUUGUAUUAAUACCGGCGGAAUCCCGCCUCGAAAAAAGUGGGCGGGAUUUUUACCGCCCAAUUUUUUGAAAUUAGUUUUACCGGCGGAUUAAUACCGGCGGGACCCGCCGGUAUUAAUCUGGGAUUCUGACCGUUUUUAUUAAUACCGGCGGAACCCAAUUAAUACCGGCGGGUCCCGCCGGUAUUAAAAAUCUAUAUAAACCCCUCCCCAUUUCAGAAUACCAUUUUUUCCAUUUUCACUCCCCCCCAUCUUCUCCAUUCCACCUCCCCUCUCCGUUUUCAAACACAAUCCGCCCCGUUCUCCGGCAUCAUUUCCCCGACACCGCCAGUGCGCCGCCCGUCUACCACCGCCAGUGCAACGUUUGGGAUAAAUAAUCUGUGGGGAAGAAAUUUCUGAGUAAAACGCCGGGAUCGGUUGGUGUACUAAAUAUUUGGAGCAACAACCUGUGUAUGGUCAAAUGGGAGGAUCUCCACAACAGCCUAUGUAUGGAGGCUUUUUCAGUGCUCAGAGUCAGCAACAACAGCAACAACCAAUUUUGGUUCGCCCCCACCCUCGACAAUAUGUGGAGAUCUUGCCUACGCCGCAGACUGGACAACCUUAUUACCCUGCUCCGC